UCGGACUGGAAGGAUGUCACUAACUCCUGGAAGUUCAGCCUGCCUUCUUUUUCUUCUUCUUUCUUUUUCUUUUUCUUUUUCUUUUUCUUUUUCUUUUUCUUUUUCUUUUUCUUUUUCUUUUUCUUUUUCUUUUUCUUUUUCUUUUUCUUUUNUUUUCUUUUUCUUUUUCUUUUUCUUUUUCUUUUUCUUUUUCUUUUUCUUUUUCUUUUUCUUUUUCUUUUUCUUUUUCUUUUUCUUUUUCUUUUUCCUUUUUUUUUCCUCUUUUUCUUUUUUUCCCUCCUUUUUUCUUUAUUUUUUUUUUUAACUGAAAGUUUUUAUUAAAUACCUUUAGUGUGCUGAUAUAAUUCAGUUUUUUCUCACAUAGAGAUAUUAAGAUCCAUGUUGAGCCAGCUGGGGCCAAAGCCUGAAGUGUGGAGCCUCUGCUACUAUAGUCCAAUUCAGCACUUCUCAGUUUCUGUCUUCUAUUUCUCACAAACGCUGUGAAGAAAAUGAAGUCUAAGCUGUGUGUUCUGCACGUUUGCCAUUGCAACUCAAGGAGACAGAGCUCAGAUGAAGUUCCAACAAGGCCCAAAGUUUGCCCUACCCACAGCACUGAAGAUUGCUGCACAGCCCCAUCUUUGUGCAUGGGAGAAGCAAAGCAAAUGAGGAGGGAGUGUGCUCCGAGCUGCCUGGGGCUGACAACCAAAAGGUGCAAGAUGGGACAAAGCAGAGCACAGAGGGUGAAUGGAAACAUUAACACUUGUAAGCUAACAGAUGUGCAGGAAUGUCCUCGGCUCGCCAUCGCUUUUCUCUCCAGCAGAAUAUGACUGACAACAGAACACCAGGGAACAGCUGGGUCGAAACGCAUAAUAUUUUCCUGCUAGAGAAAGACGCUGAUUAGGCUGUGGAGUACCUAAUUGGGUAAGAUGCCCCUCAUUUCCAAACUAUAAAAUUCAGAUAGUGUAGAGCAGCAAAGGGUGGACGAGCUGGCAAGAGCUGUAUGUUUGUCCUGCAGCACAACUGGACCUUUAAAUUGAGCGCUGCCUUUACAGUUGUGUGGGAACAUGCAGUGCUGUGCACUGUGCAGAGCCAGGAUCUUGGGGAGGGACGGCAAUAGCACUGAGCAUCCUCUUCUCUCUUCCAAAGCUUGCGUGGGUACAGGGGCAGAUUUCCCCAUGAGGUUCCAUUUUAUUUCAAGGAAAAAUAAAGGAAAAUGGAAACAAA
rnacentral:lncRNA from 1 species